rnacentral:tRNA from 1 species
GCACUCGUAGCUCAGGGGAUAGAGCACAUCUCUCCUAAGGAUGGUGUCGCAGGUUCAAAUCCUGCCGGGUGUGCCA